UACGAAGGGUGCAAACGUUGCUCGGAAUUAUUGGGCGUAAAGCGCACGUAGGCGGCUUUGCAAGUCGGAUGUGAAAUCCCUCGGCUUAACCAAGGAAGUGCAUCCGAAACUGCAGAGCUUGAGUACUUAAGAGGAUCGCGGAAUUCCCGGUGUAGAGGUGAAAUUCGUAGAUAUCAGGAGGAACAUCAGCGGCGAAGGCGGCGAACUGGAUAGUAACUGACACUCAACUACGAAAGCGUGGGGAGCAAACAGG
rnacentral:rRNA from 1 species